rnacentral:SRP_RNA from 1 species
GCCGGGCAUGGUGGCGCAUGCCUGUAGUCCCAGCUACUUGGGAGGCUGAGGUGGGAGGAUCUCUUGAGCCCAGGAGUUCUGGGCUGUAGUGCGCUAUGCCAAUUGGGUGUCCACAUUAAGUUUGGCAUCAAUGUGGUAACCUCCCAGGAGUAGGGGACCACCGGAUUGCCUAAGGAGGGGUGAACCAGCCCAGGCUGGAAACGGAGCAGGUCAAAACUCCUGUGCUGAUCAGUAGUGGGAUCUUGCCUGUGAAUAGCCACUGCACUCCAGCCUGGGCAACAUAGCGAGACCUCGUCUCA